GACGAACGCUGGCGGCCUGCUUAACACAUGCAAGUCGAACGAAGUGGCGAACGGGUGAGUAACGCGUAAUCAACCUGCACUUCAGAGGGGGAAAACAGUUGGAAACGACUGCUAAUACCGCAUACUGCAGAGGGUGAUUGCGUGUUAGUAGCUAGCUGGAGGGGUAACGGCCCACCAAGGCGAGGAUCAGUAGCCGGGCUGAGAGGAUGAACGGCCACAUGGGGACUGGGAAACGGGCCAGACCCCUACGGGAGGCAGCAGUGGGGAAUCUUCCGCAAUGGACGAAAGUCUGACGGAGCAACGCCGCGUGAGUGAUGACGGCCUUCGGGUUGUAAAGCUCGGUUAAUCGGGACGCGGUACCGGAAUAGAAAGCCACGGCUAACUACGUGCCAGCCGCCGCGGUAAUAC
rnacentral:rRNA from 1 species